rnacentral:lncRNA from 1 species
AGUCCUGGACUGAGCUUCAGAAGAUCUUAGAUCACUGACGUUCUGUCUAGAAGAAUACUCCAAGAUAUAUUUCUAAGUAAUAUUCCUUCUCUUGUUGGGGGAAAUUAGAGAAGAUUUCUACCUGGUGCCAUAUCAACUCAAGGAUGGAGUCAAAUACUGAGAGGCUCUGUCAUCUGUCUUUGGAUCUCCUUCUGUGGUGAAAAUUCUAACAAGGAGCAAACAGCAAAGAACUGAAAUGCUGCACAGACUCCAGUGAGAAAAAACUGAGGUAAUUGGUUUCGGUGUGCUGGUGCUUGAAACUCUAUCCCAGUGCUUCCUUCAGCUAAGGCUGCAAAUUGAAAAUGUGAACAACCUUGCCUGCUUGAACCAGCCUGGGCUUGUGGCAGCAUCAUUCUGUCACUUAAUUCUUCUCACAGAAGAUCACAUAGCUUUGCUUCCAUACCUAAAUUACUACAAAUUUGUGUCCGCUUGAAUGUUAUGUAAUUUAACCAGAAAUUGAAGAAAUACCACCAUUCCUAGGAGCAGAGAAGAAACCAUAUUUACUCAUCAUCACAAACAAUUCUGAUUAAAAUUUCAGUAUAAAAGACUUUUGUUUCUUAGAGAAAGUUAAAAUAAUCCCAUCAUGCUCAACAAAUGCAGCAUUUCUAUUGUUCACACAAAUUUCUGAUCACCUUAACAAACCAUCUGUAUGCCUAAUAUUGAUGCUGUCUUUCCCUAGUGUACUGGACAACCUAAGACAGGGAAAUAAAGAUAAGGUUUGGAUUGAAGAAUGAGAGGAGCCAAAAUAAUGCAGCUUCACGUCUCCUUAACGGACAGAAGACUACACUGUUUUAGCUGCACCCAGAGAUAAAAUUAUUGGUUUUGGAGUACCUUCACUGAUGCCAGAGGGGUGUCAUCUUUACCUUCCAUCACAUAAUAUAUAUAAAGAGAAUUUUUCUUAGCUUUAAAUGAGUUGAUAAGAGGACAAGAAGAAAGUCAAGGACUCCAUUUCCAGGAUUAAAAGCGUUUUUUUUCUUUGUCUUCCAAAUCCUAGCAAUAGAAGCAUUUGAGUUCUGCAGAAAUUACUGAAGUGGUUCAAGUGUGGGCAGUCAGGACACUCAGCCCACCAUACUCAACCCCAACUCAACCUCAACUCUCAGUAUGGCAGAGAGGUGGAGAACUCAGAGCUAUAACUUUCAGGAAUUCUCAAAACCUCAGACCAAAUGCAUCUUUGUUUUACCACCUGUUAAAGUAUAUCCUCAUCUGCCUCAGUGCACAUAAGUAUACAACACUGCAGAUUGUGUUUAACUUCAUUUGCAAUUAAUUUAACGCAUUUUGUAUCUAACAUUUCUACUAGGAAAUAGUAUUAGUCUAUCCCCAAACUAAAAUUCACUGCAAAAAUGUAAUUCACUCAAGAAAAAUAAUGAUAAUUCUUCAAACACCUUGAGAUGUCAUUCAACAAUCAUACCCAAUGGGUAAAAUUUAGAGUUCAACAUUUAGCUUGCAUUUCUUUCUAACCAAACAUCUCAAGUUCAAAAAAUAAAGCAGAUUGUUUUGUGUAUUUAUUAUCACUACCACAUCAAUGGUCACCUACACUUCCUGAGCCCCAAAUAGAACUCUCAGAGAAGCAUUGUGUAUUUGUCAAUAUCCUGGAGUUUCAAAACUCCCAAGUGUUGCCACCAUUUGACCUGAAAUUUCCUCUCUUCUCAGAUUCCUGCCUCUAAACACAAAAUAAAUAAACCUUAACUUAGCUCAUGUGUGAAUUUUUAGGGUCAUUUGUUUCAUAUCCAGAAAGACUUCAAGUCUCUUUGCUAAAUUUUGAUUUACCCAAGGCCAGUAGCCUGAAUUCAACUUUAGCAGUCCCAGGGCUCAGUAGAUUUGCCCUGUAGAUUCUGUAAGUGGAUAUUUAUGUUCCAUGCAUUUCUUCUUUCAGAGCAUAGCAGAAAUAUAGGGAUAACACCUUAGCUGAAUGUUGGCCCUAAAAUAGCUGCUCAUUUGUAGCACUCAGACGAAGCUGAAAUUAUUCACAUUCAGCCGACAUUUCCAUUAGGUGAGAUGCUGCCUGCUAAUUCACAUUUGCCUGGGAUUGCUCCUCAGAGUUCAGAUUUAAUUUUGAUAACAUAAACUCUAUCAUUUAAUAAAUAAUAAGCAGUAAAAAAUUAAACCUAUUGUUAUUGGGCAUUUUGAAUGAAAGAAAAGCAGUAUAGUAUAUUAGGUUUAAUGUUUCCUCAAUAUCUUAAUCUAUAUUGCCUUUGGAAAGAAGCAAUCCUUAGAUAAAAAAGUAAAAUACUUUAAAAUUUCUCUCCAUUUCAUUAGUGCAUGAGACUGAGACAGGUAUUGUCACUCUUGCCACUGACUCAGUGACAUGUCAGAAACAAUGAAGUCUUAAAUAUAUUGCUCAAAAUUUCAACUGCCUAUAUAUAGCAUAAAAUUAAUUGCAUUUAGAAAAUAAAGUUCUGUUCUCUUAGCAAUUUUCA